UAAGCUUCUUAGCCUUUUGGCUAAGAUCAAAUGUAGUAUAUGUCCUUAUCAGUUUAAUAUCUCCAUGUCCUCUAUUUGAAAAGGACAUCCAAGUGGCACAGGGGAUAGAGUGCUGGGCCUAGAGUCAGGAAGAUUUCAUCUUCCUGGGCUCAAAUCUGGUCUUAGACAUUUAUCGUGACCCUGGGCAAGUCAC